ensembl:misc_RNA
UAGUGUUCAUCAUGGCGAGCUGAUGGCACCAGGAGGAUGGAGCCUCUGGCCAGUGUGAGUCCUAGCAGUGCAGGAGGGGAGACCCUGGAGGAGAGAGCCCGCCUAAAUUGAUGUCUGCAGAUUGAAUUUCCAGAGGCUUAGGAGGAGGAAGUUCUCCA